rnacentral:rRNA from 1 species
GCACAAUGGGGGAAACCCUGAUGCAGCCAUGCCGCGUGUGUGAAGAAGGCCUUCGGGUUGUAAAGCACUUUCAGUAGGGAGGAAGGUAGUGUAGUUAACACCUGCAUUAUUUGACGUUACCUACAGAAGAAGCACCGGCUAACUCCGUGCCAGCAGCCGCGGUAAUACGGAGGGUGCGAGCGUUAAUCGGAAUUACUGGGCGUAAAGCGCAUGCAGGCGGCCUGUUAAGUCAGAUGUGAAAGCCCGGGGCUUAACCUCGGAAUUGCAUUUGAAACUGGCAGGCUAGAGUCUUGUAGAGGGGGUAGAAUUUCAGGUGUAGCGGUGAAAUGCGUAGAGAUCUGAAGGAAUACCAGUGGCGAAGGCGGCCCCCUGGACAAAGACUGACGCUCAGAUGCGAAAGCGUGGGGAGCAAACAGGAUUAGACACCCUGGAG